UACGGAGGGAGCUAGCGUUGUUCGGAAUUACUGGGCGUAAAGCGCACGUAGGCGGCUUUGUAAGUUAGAGGUGAAAGCCUGGAGCUCAACCCCAGAACUGCCUUUAAGACUGCAUCGCUCGAAUCCUGGAGAGGUGAGUGGAAUUCCGAGUGUAGAGGUGAAAUUCGUAGAUAUUCGGAAGAACACCAGUGGCGAAGGCGGCUCACUGGACAGGUAUUGACGCUGAGGUGCGAAAGCGUGGGGAGCAAAC
rnacentral:rRNA from 1 species